AUUGAACGCUGGCGGCAUGCCUUACACAUGCAAGUCGAACGGCAGCGGGGACUUCGGUCCGCCAGCGAGUGGCGAACGGGUGAGUAAUGUAUCGGAACGUACCAUUCAGUGGGGGAUAACUAUCCGAAAGGAUAGCUAAUACCGCAUAUUCUGUGAGCAGGAAAGCAGGGGAUCGCAAGACCUUGCGCUGAUUGAGCGGCCGAUGUCAGAUUAGCUAGUUGGUGAGGUAAAGGCUCACCAAGGCGACGAUCUGUAGCGGGUCUGAGAGGAUGAUCCGCCACACUGGAACUGAGACACGGUCCAGACGCCUACGGGAGGCAGCAGUGGGGAAUUUUGGACAAUGGGGGCAACCCUGAUCCAGCCGUGCCGCGUGAGUGAAGAAGGCCUUCGGGUUGUAAAGCUCUUUCGGCCGGGAAGAAAUCGCACGGGCUAAUACCCUGUGUGGAUGACGGUACCGGAAUAAGAAGCACCGGCUAACUACGUGCCAGCCGCCGCCGUAACAC
rnacentral:rRNA from 1 species